CCUGCACAAAUUUGCUUGCUGGCAACCAUGUGAGAUGGGACUUUCUCCUCCUUGACUUUCGCCAUGAUUGUGAGGCCUUCCCAGCCAUGUGGAACUCUUCUUUCGUGGCAAUUUUCCCCCAGGAGGGAUUUCCCUGCAGUGGACCUCCUCCCCAGUGGUACCUUCAGCCAUCAGAACACCUCGCUUUAGAUCUGUGGGUCCCAAAUUUCAUCAAAUCCAAUGACCAUUUCUAUGAUCACUCAUUCUGGGGGCAGCCCUCUGGCAUGUAAUGAGCAGUCCUAUGGAGAGGCCCAUGUGACAGUAGCCAUGCGAGUGACACUGGAAGUGAAACCUGCAGCUCCAGUCAAGCCUUUAGAAGACUGCAGCCCUGGCUGACAGCUUGACAGCAAACUCAUGAGAGACUCUCAGCUUGAACAACUCA
rnacentral:lncRNA from 10 species